AUAGAUUAACGAUAUGUAUUUAUUAGCUACAAGCAUUAUAUGUUCUUAUCAGUUUAAUAUCUGAUACGUCCCUUAUCUGGGGACCAUAUAUUAAAUUGAUUUUUGGAGCAGGGAAAUGGAAUAGGGGCUUGGUCUGUCCACACCACGCAUCGACCCGGUAUUGCAGUAUCUCUGGGAACAAAAAAAGGAAG